rnacentral:rRNA from 1 species
UACGGGGGGGGCAAGCGUUGUUCGGAAUUACUGGGCGUAAAGGGCUCGUAGGCGGCCAACUAAGUCAGACGUGAAAUCCCUCGGCUUAACCGGGGAACUGCGUCUGAUACUGGAUGGCUUGAGAUUGGGAGAGGGAUGCGGAAUUCCAGGUGUAGCGGUGAAAUGCGUAGAUAUCUGGAGGAACACCGGUGGCGAAGGCGGCAUCCUGGACCAAUUCUGACACUGAGGAGCGAAAGCCAGGGGAGCAAACGGG